GACGAACGCUGGCGGCGUGCUUCAUACAUGCAAGUCGAACGAGAAUCUGGUGCUUGCACCAGAGGACAGUGGCGGACGGGUGAGUAAUAUGUAGGAAAUCUGCCUUUAGGAGGGGGACAACAGAGGGAAACUUCUGCUAAUACCCCAUAUGAGCUAAGUUGAAAUACUUAUCUUGAAAACUCCGGUGCCUAAAGAUGAGCCUGCACCUGAUUAGCUAGUUGGUGGUGUAAUGGACUACCAAGGCGACGAUCAGUAGCUGGUUUGAGAGGAUGAUCAGCCACAAUGGGACUGAGACACGGCCCAUACUCCUACGGGAGGCAGCAGUAGGGAAUUUUGCGCAAUGGGGGAAACCCUGACGCAGCAACGCCGCGUGAACGAUGAAGCUUUUCGGAGUGUAAAGUUCUGUCAGUGGGGACGAAAUUUGACGG
rnacentral:rRNA from 1 species